AGACGAACCGUGCGAACGUUAUUCGGAAUCACUGGGCUUGAAGCGUGCGUAGGCGGCUUGGAAAGUUGGGUGUGAAAGCCCUCGGCUCAACCGAGGAAUUGCGCCCAAAACUGCCAGGCUUGAGGGAGUUAGAGGUGAGCGGAACUGAUGGUGGGGCGGUGAAAUGCUUUGAUAUCAGCAGGAACACCGGAGGCGAAGGCGGCUCACUGGGGCUCUUCUGACGCUGAGGCACGAAAGCUAGGGGAGCGAACGGGAUUAGAAACCCCAGUAGUCC
rnacentral:rRNA from 1 species